GUUUUUUUGAUAAUAAUUUAAAGUCGGGCCUGCUCAAUGAUUUUUUAAAUAGCUGCGGUAUUUUGACCGUACAAAGGUAGCAUAAUCAUUAGUUUUUUAAUUGUAAACUAGAAUGAAUGGUUUGACAAGAAAUUAACUGUCUCUUAAUAAAAUAUGAAAUUUAUUUUUUAGUUAAAAAGCUUAAAUAUUUUUAAAAGACGAGAAGACCCUAUAGAGUUUUAUAUAUUUUUAUAAAUAUAUAUUAUAAUAAUUAUAAAAAUUUAUUUAAUUGGGGUGAUUAAAAAAUUUAAUUAACUUUUUUUUUAUUGUACUAUUAAUUAAUAAGUAUUUGAUCCAUAAUUUAUGAUUAUAAGAUUAAAUUACCUUAGGGAUAACAGCGUAAUUUAUUUAUAGAGUUCAUAUCGAAAAAUAAGAUUGCGACCUCGAUGUUGGAUUAAAAUUUAUAUUUGGUGUAGAAGCUUAAAUAUUAAGUCUGUUCGACUUUUAAAAUUUUAAGUCUGUUCGACUUUUAAAAUUUUUUGGUGUAGAAGCUUAAAUAUUAAGUCUGUUCGACUUUUAAAAUUUUAAGUCUGUUCGACUUUUAAAAUUUU
rnacentral:rRNA from 1 species